UACGUAGGGUGCGAGCGUUGUCCGGAAUUACUGGGCGUAAAGAGCUCGUAGGUGGUUUGUCGCGUUGUUCGUGAAAACUCACAGCUCAACUGUGGGCGUGCGGGCGAUACGGGCAGACUGGAGUACUGCAGGGGAGACUGGAAUUCCUGGUGUAGCGGUGGAAUGCGCAGAUAUGAGGAGGAACACCGGUGGCGAAGGCGGGUCUCUGGGCAGUAACUGACGCUGAGGAGCGAAAGCGUGGGGAGCGAACAGG
rnacentral:rRNA from 1 species